rnacentral:rRNA from 1 species
UGAGGAAUAUUGCACAAUGGGCGAAAGCCUGAUGCAGCGACGCCGCGUGGGUGAAGAAGGUUUUCGGAUCGUAAAACCCUUUUCUGUGUNGACGAGAGAGGACGGUAGCACAGGAAUAAGUCUCGGCUAACUACGUGCCAGCAGCCGCGGUAAAACGUAGGAGACAAACGUUAUCCGGAGUUACUGGGCGUAAAGGGCGUGCAGGCGGCAGCCUAAGUCUGGCGUGAAAUAUCCCGGCUUAACCGGGAGAGGUCGUCGGAUACUGGGCAGCUAGAGGGCGGUAGAGGCGUGUGGAAUUCCGGGUGUAGUGGUGAAAUGCGUAGAGAUCCGGAUGAACACCAGUGGCGAAGGCGACACGCUGGGCCGCACCGUGACGCUAAGACGCGACAGCAUGGGGAGCGA